rnacentral:rRNA from 1 species
GAUGAACGCUGGCGGCGUGCCUAAUACAUGCAAGUCGAGCGAACGGACGAGAAGCCUGCUUCUCUGAUGUUAGCGGCGGACGGGUGAGUAACACGUGGAUAACCUACCUAUAAGACUGGGAUAACUUCGGGAAACCGGAGCUAAUACCGGAUAAUAUUUUGAACCGCAUGGUUCAAAAGUGAAAGACGGUCUUGCUGUCACUUAUAGAUGGAUCCGCGCUGCAUUAGCUAGUUGGUAAGGUAACGGCUUACCAAGGCAACGAUGCAUAGCCGACCUGAGAGGGUGAUCGGCCACACUGGAACUGAGACACGGUCCAGACUCCUACGGGAGGCAGCAGUAGGGAAUCUUCCGCAAUGGGCGAAAGCCUGACGGAGCAACGCCGCGUGAGUGAUGAAGGUCUUCGGAUCGUAAAACUCUGUUAUUAGUGAAGAACAUAUGUGUAAGUAACUGUGCACAUCUUGACGGUACCUAAUCAGAAAGCCACGGCUAACUACGUG